AUCACUUCUCUGUCUUUUGGCUAAGAUUACGUGUAG
rnacentral:snRNA from 1 species